AUCGAGCUGUAGAGAUUUCAGGUUUACAGUCACAGGUUUGUUCACACUUAGCUCGCUGCAGCUUAAGUUAAGUAGCUGUACAGUUCAUAUUUUUUUUUUUUUUUUUUUAAAAAGGCACUAAGAAUGGACAGGCUAGGGUACAUUUUCUA